rnacentral:tRNA from 1 species
GGUCGUUAGCUCAGUUGGUAGAGCAGUUGACUUUUAAUCAAUUGGUCGCAGGUUCGAAUCCUGCACGACCCA